AGGCAUGACAUGUCGUAUACAUGCAGUCGAGCGAACAGAUAAGGAGCUUGCUCCUUUGACGUUAGCGGCGGACGGGUGAGUAACACGUGGAUAACCUACCUAUAAGACUGGGAUAACUUCGGGAAACCGGAGCUAAUACCGGAUAAGAUUUUGAACCGCAUGGUUCAAUAGUGAAAGACGGCCUUGCUGUCACUUAUAGAUGGAUCCGCGCCGUAUUAGCUAGUUGGUAAGGUAACGGCUUACCAAGGCAACGAUACGUAGCCGACCUGAGAGGGUGAUCGGCCACACUGGAACUGAGACACGGUCCAGACUCCUACGGGAGGCAGCAGUAGGGAAUCUUCCGCAAUGGGCGAAAGCCUGACGGAGCAACGCCGCGUGAGUGAUGAAGGUCUUCGGAUCGUAAAACUCUGUUAUCAGGGAAGAACAAACGUGUAAGUAACUGUGCACGUCUUGACGGUACCUGAUCAGAAAGCCACGGCUAACUACGUGCCAGCAGCCGCGGUAAUACGUAGGUGGCAAGCGUUAUCCGGAAUUAUUGGGCGUAAAGCGCGCGUAGGCGGUUUUUUAAGUCUGAUGUGAAAGCCCACGGCUCAACCGUGGAGGGUCAUUGGAAACUGGAAAACUUGAGUGCAGAAGAGGAAAGUGGAAUUCCAUGUGUAGCGGUGAAAUGCGCAGAGAUAUGGAGGAACACCAGUGGCGAAGGCGACUUUCUGGUCUGUAACUGACGCUGAUGUGCGAAAGCGUGGGGAUCAAACAGGAUUAGAUACCCUGGUAGUCCACGCCGUAAACGAUGAGUGCUAAGUGUUAGGGGUUUCCGCCCCUUAGUGCUGCAGCUAACGCAUUAAGCACUCCGCCUGGGGAGUACGACCGCAAGGUUGAAACUCAGA
rnacentral:rRNA from 1 species